GUGCUCGUUUCAGCAGCACGUAUACUAAAAUUGGAACGAUACAGAGAAGAUUAGCAUGGCCUCUGUGCAAGAUGACACGCAAAUUUGUGAAGCGUUAAAAAAAAAAAAGAUUUUU
ensembl:snRNA U6 U6 spliceosomal RNA